rnacentral:tRNA from 1 species
GUCCUUGUAGUAUAAAAAUUACCUUGGUCUUGUAAACCAAAAACGGAGACCCACUAACUCCCGAGGACA